rnacentral:rRNA from 1 species
GACGAACGCUGGCGGCGUGCUUAACACAUGCAAGUCGAACGGGUCUGCCCUGUUUUUUGCGGGGUGGGUCAGUGGCGAACGGGUGAGUAACACGUGAGUAACCUGCCCCUCACUUCUGGAUAACCGCUUGAAAGGGUGGCUAAUACGGGGUGUUCUGGCUGUGCCGCAUGGUGUGGCUGGGAAAGAUUCACUUUUGUGGUGUUUUGGUGGGGGAUGGGCUCGCGGCCUAUCAGCUUGUUGGUGGGGUGAUGGCCUGCCAAGGCUUUGACGGGUAGCCGGCCUGAGAGGGUGGGCGGUCACACUGGGACUGAGAUACGGCCCAGACUCCUGCGGGAGGCAGCAGUGGGGGGUAUUGCACAAUGGGCGGAAGCCUGAUGCAGCGACGUCGCGUGAGGGAUGGAGGCCUUUGGGUUGUGAACCUCUUUCGCCGGUGAAGAAGGUCCUGCUCUUUGUGGUGGGGUUGACGGUAGCCGGGUUGAAGCGCCGGCUAACUACGUG